UGGUUUGAUAACUAGUGGUCAACUUAAUGCCAGCUGGAUUACAUCAGCAUGCAUUGAGAGAAGAUGCUCCACCUGAGGAGGGUUGCCAGGAUAAAUAGGUGGAGAAGAAGAGAGGUUGGGAGAGGGAUUGAGGCAUUAUGGAUGCAUUGUUAGUUUUCCUACAAGUUGAUGUCUGAGCUGUUGGUUCUCCUGAAGAAGCUUUGGUCUUCAUAUCGAGCAUUGCUUCCUGGCUCCGGAGGGGAAGACAUGUGCUGCCUGGUCUCCAGGGUGAACUUGUCACGCUGCUUCCUGGCACGUUCCUGACUGUGCUUGUCAUCAGAGGAGCUCGGGGCCUCCGUGUCGCUGAGGACAGUUCUGGUUCCUUUCAGAACAGCCCUGUUUUUUUGUUGUGAGUGUGACUUCUCAGCUCCAGUGUAGAACCCUCAUCCCACUAGCACAGCUCCUUCAUGCUGCUGGCAUGGACUUUCUGUCUUCCACUGCUGACCCUUGGGUCUUCCCAGCAUGAAUCCACAAAAGAGACUGGUGUGAGUCCUUGUGGGCCGUGGACUUCCAGUUGGACUCGUGGAGGCAUUGUCCUGAGCUCUGGGUUUUUAUCUGGACUCAUGUGGGACAUUGCCGUGGGGUUUAGGCUCUUGACUUAAAUAAUCUAUGUCUUUGGUGUUGUGCCUAGAUUUCCUGCAUUCUCCUGUGUUAACUUCCGGUGACCAACAGAAAUAUGUACCAGAGGAGUGGGGUCAUUGCUGUUAUGUUGCCUGGCCAUGUGACUGGAGAGGCUUAGAAAUUAAUUUCAAAAUAUUUGAGAGACUGGCCAAAGAGACAGCUCCUGUGUGCUGUAUUAUUUUGGAGACUCUGGUUGGAACCUGGAAGAUCGGAGUACUGAUGGAAAUGCUGCCAAUUAAGGUGAAGCUUGGGAGGCUUCUUUUGAGAAAGACUGCAAUGUCUGCUGAAAUCCAGAGGCUCCUGCAAGAGUAAUUGCAGAACCUGAAAACUCCCAUGAGACAAGUGCCAGAGAAAUGGACAGAGUGGAUGACAUUUGAGGAAAAUAUCAGUGGUAUUUUGACAGGAAAGCUUUGAAAUGGCUGGUUGCUCUGGGAUGCACAAAUAUUACAACAACAUGAAUUCUUCCUAUCCACCAUCAUGCUAUGUGUUUUCUUCUGUUAGUGCUAUUUCACUGAUUGCAUCAAUUUAUACAAGUUUUAAACAACAGGUCCUUCCUUGUCCACCCCAGUCUUCUCUGAACCUUUCGGUGGAGCCACAAGACGAGACACUGCAUGUGUAGCUGACCAAAAUAUAACUGGUGCAGUUUGGUGCUAUCAGCCAAAAG